rnacentral:rRNA from 1 species
UACAGCGGUGGCAAGCGUUGUUCGGAAUUACUGGGCGUAAAGGGCGCGUAGGCGGCCCGUCAAGUCCCGUGUGAAAGCCCCCGGCUCAACCGGGGAACGGCGCGGGAAACUAGCAGGCUUGAGUUCGGGAGAGGGAAGCGGAAUUCCGGGUGUAGCGGUGAAAUGCGCAGAUAUCCGGAGGAACACCGGUGGCGAAGGCGGCUUCCUGGACCGACACUGACGCUGAGGCGCGAAAGCUAGGGGAGCAAACGGG